rnacentral:rRNA from 1 species
UACGUAGGGUGCAAGCGUUGUCCGGAAUUAUUGGGCGUAAAGAGCUCGUAGGCGGUUUGUCGCGUCUGCUGUGAAAUCUCUGAGCUUAACUCAGAACGGUCAAGUGAUACUGCUGUGCUAGAGUGCGGAAGGGGCAAUCGGAAUUCUUGGUGUAGCGGUGAAAUGCGUAGAUAUCAAGAGGAACACCUGAGGUGAAGACGGGUUGCUGGGCCGACACUGACGCUGAUGCGCGAAAGCCAGGGGAGCAAACGGG